rnacentral:rRNA from 1 species
AUACGGAGGGUGCAAGCGUUGUUCGGAAUUACUGGGCGUAAAGGGCGCGCAGGCGGCCUGCCAAGUCAGAUGUGAAAUGCCAUGGCUUAACCAUGGACGUGCAUUUGAAACUGGUGGGCUUGAGUACCAGAGGGGAAGGUGGAAUUCCCGGUGUAGAGGUGAAAUUCGUAGAUAUCGGGAGGAAUACCGGUGGCGAAGGCGACUUUCUGGCUGGAUACUGACGCUGAGGCGCGAAAGCGUGGGGAGCAAACAGGAUUAGAUACCCUGGUAGUCCACGCUGUAAACGAUGUGAACUAGAUGUAGGGGGUGUUGAUCCCCUCUGUGUCGCAGCUAACGCAUUAAGUUCACCGCCUGGGGAGUACGGUCGCAAGAUUAAAACUCAAAGGAAUUGACGGGG